CAUUUACGUCUGCUCGGCGCGCUCAACAUCCAUUCGUAGGCACUUUGGUAUCUUUAAGUUCACUUCGUAGAUCUGGGCCAAUUCCAGGGAACACCGGAAUGGCGCCGUUUUCCAGGAACAUUGUGACCGAGUGAGCUUGGGGUCAAGAGAUAGAAACAAAGAUGGCGGAAGACAUGUGGAACUUUGAGCAUAAUGCACUAAUAUUACAGGCUUUUUCUCGGGGCUAUUCGGUGAAAGAAUGUUAGCUUCUUGUUGACAAAUGACCGAACCCUUGAAGAUUGGUGCUUCACAGUGGAAGGACAUUCAGCGGGAAAGACAUUCAGGUAAAACCAGGCCAGAGUAUUGAGGCGCAAUCUAAACGGAGUCAGAGACACUAAAUGCAGCAAGUACAGAAUUAACUUGGUUGAUCUGAAGAGACGUGAACAAUGAUUUUGUGACGAGGGAACCAACCUGUUUGACCGAAAAAGGGAACUACGCCAACUACAGGCCAAGGUUGGAGGAAUCAGAUAAGGUGGAGAGUUGUUCAGGAAAGUUAGAGCUACAGGUAUAGAGAUGAUGAACACCAAUGACCAUACUAAGAUUAAAGCAAGAUAACAACGGACGAAUGGCAAUACAGAAAGGGAUAGCAAAAUGAACAUGUGGUACUAUACUGCGGGAGCUGAAAGAGAACAGACCAGGACAUUAACAAAUUAAACAAACAGAAGGUGUAAGACAAGACUAAGGACAGGCUGAUGUGAUCAAAUGAGGCACACACUGGUCAAGCCAGAUGAAAUGCAGUUGACAUGCAAAAUUGUUUAACAAAAAAGGCAUGGAUCUAUUUCCACACCAGCAACAGACCAAGCAAUUUAGACUGGACCAAAUGGAGGAUUAAGCUCCCACUCUACACCGGCUUGGCAAGUUGCUAGAGACAUAGAGUAAGGAUCAAGGACCAUGGACCCAGGAUAUAGGACCCAGGAUCCAGGACAGAGGACCAAGAAGCAGGGAAGACUGAGGGCUGCAGAUCAAGGACAGUGGAUGGAAAGCAAGCCUUGGAUGAAGAACUUUCAUAAGUUGAAUUAUAGAUAUGUUAAGGUAUAUGAGAUGCUAUGGGUAGCAGAGAGAUGGCACAGUGGGAGAGCUGGGCUCGCCUCUCACUAAUGUGCCAUAUGUGAGUUUUUUGUUGGUUCUCACCUUGUCCCGAGGGUUUUUCUCCGGGUACUCCGGUUUCCCUCAUUCUUGAAAAACCAACAUUUCCAAAUUCCAAUUCAAAUUGGCUCGCUCUUUAAAAAUCAUUGUUGACAAGUGUUUAACGGUCCUCCAUAUUGCUUGGGCCAAUUGAGGCAAUCAUGGUAAACAUUUGUUUGCAGUGUUAUAUUAAUACUCGCUGUUUAUUUCCUAGCUACAUGUGCACUAAAUACUACAGGUUUCAUAGUCUCCUUUGCGGCUGUUAUGUUAGUUGAGAACGAAAUUGGAAAACAAGCUUUUUUAUUUGCUAUUUUUUAUCGUCAUCGUUUUUUAACGUAGGUAAAAGAGAAUUUUCCACAUCCAAUCAAUCAAUCAAUCAAUGAUUCAUUCAUUCAUUCAUUC
rnacentral:lncRNA from 1 species